rnacentral:lncRNA from 13 species
UAUGAUUACAGCCCAAACAAUGAGAGGGAAGGGGAGAGAUAGAGAGCGAGGAGAGGUGCAGAGAAAGAGAGGAGAGAUGCAGAGAAAGAGAAAGAGAGGAGAGAUAGAGAGCGAGGAGAGGUGCAGAGAAAGAGAGGAGAGAUAGAGAGCGAGGAGAGGUGCAGAGAAAGAGAGGAGAGGUGCAGAGAAAGAGGGGAGAGAUAGAGAGCGAGGAGAGGUGCAGANNNNNNNNNNGAGGAGAGGUGCAGAGAAAGAGAGGAGAUGGACGGCGAGAAACAGAGAGAGAGACGGCUAGGGUGAGAAUGGGGGACAAGAGAAGGAGACAGGAUCAUGGAGAGAGAAAUCAAGUGAAGGCGAAGACAGAGAAAAUGAGACAGGGAGACAGAGAGGACAAAACAGGGGUAGGGAAAGGGAGAGAGAGAAAAGGGAGACUAGGUCGCUACAGAGAGAUUCCUAAUGUAGGUUUCAAUUUCCAGUUCUUGGGUGGACUGGACCAUUUGAGCAUUAAAUGCAAUAGAACUUCACUUACAAGGAUCUCAUGUUUUUUUGUAAUGUAUUUUUAAGUAGAGCUUAGUGGCGGCUGGUCCAUGUAUGAAGCCUCACUUGUAUUUUCUUACAAUCCAAAUAGUGACAAAGGGGGGCAAACAUGCUAGUGUUUUUUCAUUGUCAUCUUUCUCUCCCUAACAGGCCAACAAGAUGUUCAACCCGAUGACUGUAUAAAGGAAUGGACAAAGCCAUCGAUCACGUGACACCAUUCGUUCCUAUGUGAAGACUCAACAGCGCAUUGAAACCAAAUGAGCAUCAGUAGAACACGCCUGACACUCCUCCACCAGUCACACAAGGAGAAUGGUCUAAUGCCUCCCUUCAAAAAGAGAACUGGCCCAAGCAAGAACAGGUUACACCUGAAGCAUGAGGACUUGCAGCGAGUGGUGAACUUCAUCAACAACUACAGGAUAAUGCAACAGUAUUACCAGGAUGCCACCCAGGACACAGGCUCUUUGGUGGAAAGCUGUUGUCAUGUGACAAAUGCAGUGGUGUGGCGUCUCUACAAGGAAUCGAUGACAACACUUGGUAAGUAAAGCUUAAACAACACGUUUUGAAUAUUUAAUUUACCUCCAACAUGAUUGGCACUACUUUUAUUGAUCUCACAUUAUUUCUGUCACGCCUGCUCCCACCCCCCUCUCUGGCGCUAGAGGGAUCCAGGCUGCCUUUCAUUAAGCACACCUGUCACCAUCAUUAAAGCGCAUCAGAGCUCAUUUGACUCACCUGGACUCCACGUUUUGAUUGCCUUCCCUAUAUCUGUCUGGUUGCUCUGUUUCAUUCCUGUGCCAGCGUUGUUGUUGUUUUGGUUUUCCACUGUCAAUGAAACACGGUCAGGAACAGAAUUCGGACAGUGUCUGGCUGACACUACUAUACAAAGCAUCAGGGAGGUUUUUGUUUUUCGUUUUGUUGGUGAUGUCAGGUCCGGGUGCCGCCGCCAUUGGGACCGGGGGUGCCUCAGCUGGCUCGUCGGGCUUCCACGUCUUAGCUGGCUUGAGAGGUUUC